rnacentral:rRNA from 1 species
UGCCCUGUACGGGGCAAGUCCCGGAGCUAACGCGUUAAGUCCUGCGCCUGGGGAGUACGGUCGCAAGACUGAAACUCAAAGGAAUUGACGGGGGCCCGCACAAGCGGUGGAACAUGUGGUUCAAUUCGACGCAACGCGAAGAACCUUACCUGGGCUUGAACCGCACAGGACCCUCCCCAGAAAUGGGGACUUCCCGCAAGGGACCUGUGUAGAGGUGCUGCAUGGCUGUCGUCAGCUCGUGCCGUGAGGUGUUGGGUUAAGUCCCGCAACGAGCGCAACCCUUACUCAUAGUUGCUACCCGCAAGGGAGAACUCUAUGAGGACUGCUCCGGAUAACGGAGAGGAAGGUGGGGAUGAGGUCAAGUCAGCAUGGCCUUUAUGUCCAGGGCUACACACGUGUUACAAUGCGCGCUACAAAGUGUCGCGAACCCGUGAGGGGGAGCUAAUCGCAAAAAAGCGCGCUCAGUUCGGAUUGCAGUCUGCAACUCGACUGCAUGAAGCCGGAAUCGCUAGUAAUGGCGUAUCAGAUCGACGCCGUGAAUACGUUCCCGGGCCUUGUACACACCGCCCGUCACAUCACGAAAGUGGGUUGUACUAGAAAUCGCCGUGCCAACCGCAAGGAGGCAGGUGCUCAAGGUAUGACUCAUGAUUGGGGUG